rnacentral:lncRNA from 1 species
CUGGAAUCUUCAGGUUUCUCUGGUCUUUUGUCCAAACAUCUGUAUGUUCUUUGCCUUCAUGCUUUGGGGCUUUACUGAAGACAAUCAUAAAUCAUGGAUUAGGUUUUUCAGAAUAACACAUGAACUUACUGUUCUUACAGUCAUUGUUUAUUCAGUUCUUUUUGCAUAUGGCUGGAGAAUUAGUGCACAUGAUACAGACAAGACACACCGUAUAGCCUCAGGAAUGUGCUUUGGAUUAGUUGUGCUGUUCUGUCUCAUCCUGAGUGCAGGUAAGAGUUUCUGUAUGAUUUG